UGAUGACCAGGUGUCCACACUAAGUUCGGCAUCAGUAUGGUGACCUCCUGGAAGUGGGGGCCACCAGGUUGCCUAAGGAAGGGUGAACUGGCCCAGAUCAGAAAGGGAGCAGUUCAGAACUCCCACACUGAUUGGUAGUGGGACUGUGCCUGGACA
ensembl:misc_RNA Metazoa_SRP Metazoan signal recognition particle RNA